UACGUAGGUGGCAAGCGUUGUCCGGAAUUAUUGGGCGUAAAGCGCGCGCAGGUGGUUUCUUAAGUCUGAUGUGAAAGCCCACGGCUCAACCGUGGAGGGGCAUUGGAAACUGGGGAACUUGAGUGCAGAAGAGGAAAGUGGAAUUCCAAGUGUAGCGGUGAAAUGCGUAGAGAUUUGGAGGAACACCAGUGGCGAAGGCGACUUUCUGGUCUGUAACUGACACUGAGGCGCGAAAGCGUGGGGAGCGAACAGG
rnacentral:rRNA from 1 species